rnacentral:lncRNA from 1 species
GUUUGCCACUGAUUUUCAAGUAGCUAUUUCAAUCUAUGCUAUUUUUGCAUGUGUUAAAAUCAAUCUUGUUAAGAGAGAUAUGUUAGUAAACAUACUUAUAUCUUAUCAGAUAGUCAAGCACUUAAUAGCCCUCACUUUACUUCAAAAUUUGUGUAGAAAUAUCAUCAUCAUAUUGUGGGAUUGGCUACCAGGAAUAAUAUUCAAUUUGUUUUGGGUACCAAUUGUGGGGAUUGAGGCAAUGAAAUUCAGAUGGGCUGACCAUAGGAGGAGUUUCUUGUCACUUUAUUGGACUGAAAUCUGCCCUGGGCAUCAGAUCUGAUACAUUUGAGUAGGUUAUCAAUGGCUGGUUGACAGCUCAAA